rnacentral:rRNA from 1 species
AGCUCCAAUAGCGUAUAUUAAAGUUGUUGCAGUUAAAAGCUCGUAGUUGGAUUUCUGGUGGGAGCGAUCGGUCUGGCGCUUAGCGCGAGUACUUGCAUCGUCUCCGGCCAUCCUUGGGGAGAGUCUGUCUGGCAUUAAGUUGUCGGGCAGAGGAUCCUCAUCGUUUACUGUGAAAAAUUAGAGUGUUCAAAGCAGGCUUAUGCCGUUGAAUAUAUUAGCAUGGAAUAAUAAGAUAGGACUUUGGUACUAUUUUGUUGGUUUGCGCACCAAAGUAAUGAUUAAUAGGGACAGUUGGGGGUAUUCGUAUUCCGUUGUCAGAGGUGAAAUUCUUGGAUUUACGGAAGACGAACUACUGCGAAAGCAUUUACCAAGGAUGUUUUCA